AUGCAAGUCGAACGAGAGCGACCGGUGCUUGCACUGGUCAAUCUAGUGGCGAACGGGUGAGUAACACGUGGGUAACCUGCCCAUCAGAGGGGGAUAACAUUCGGAAACGGAUGCUAAAACCGCAUAGGUCCUUUAACCGCAUGGUUGAAGGAGGAAAAGAGGCGCAAGCUUCUGCUGAUGGAUGGACCCGCGGUGCAUUAGCUAGUUGGUGAGGUAACGGCUCACCAAGGCCGUGAUGCAUAGCCGACCUGAGAGGGUGAUCGGCCACAUUGGGACUGAGACACGGCCCAAACUCCUACGGGAGGCAGCAGUAGGGAAUCUUCCGCAAUGGACGCAAGUCUGACGGAGCAACGCCGCGUGAGUGAAGAAGGUUUUCGGAUCGUAAAACUCUGUUGUUAGAGAAGAACAAGUGCUAGAGUAACUGUUAGCGCCUUGACGGUAUCUAACCAGAAAGCCACGGCUAACUACGUGCCAGCAGCCGCGGUAAUACGUAGGUGGCAAGCGUUGUCCGGAUUUAUUGGGCGUAAAGCGAGCGCAGGCGGUUCCUUAAGUCUGAUGUGAAAGCCCCCGGCUCAACCGGGGAGGGUCAUUGGAAACUGGGGAACUUGAGUGCAGAAGAGGAGAGUGGAAUUCCAUGUGUAGCGGUGAAAUGCGUAGAUAUAUGGAGGAACACCAGUGGCGAAGGCGACUCUCUGGUCUGUAACUGACGCUGAGGCUCGAAAGCGUGGGUAGCAAACAGGAUUAGAUACCCUGGUAGUCCACGCCGUAAACGAUGAGUGCUAAGUGUUGGAGGGUUUCCGCCCUUCAGUGCUGCGGUUAAC
rnacentral:rRNA from 1 species